CUAAAACCUGCAGUUCUCCACAGCGGCCACUGUCUUUACAACAGCAGUCUGUUGUAAAGACAGCAGGUCCGAGCGGCGGACCUGCUGGACACCAGAGCCAAACAUUAACAUGAACAAACUGCAGACAGAUAUCAACUAAAUCAACCAAGUGUUGAAAACUACAAUAAUCCCAGCCAACAUACCUCGGUGGGCCCCAUUUGACCUACAGUGUUGCUCACGUUUAUCCCUUAUGGGGCCCACCAAGCUCACAGCAAACUUUGGGAAAGGUCACACCUGUGCGUGGGACUCAUAAAAAGCAGACAAAUAUUGAAAGUGUGUACUAAUGUAAAGUAUCAGUGGCAUUCUUGGACUUACUUUGUAUAAUUACUUUUGAUGUUUUAUUUGCAUUAAUAUUUGGUCAUUUUUCCUCUGGACAUUUUGUUCUCAUGCAGCCUUUCUCCUCUCUGCUCCCCUCAGCCAUUCAGGUCCACUAGAGGGCAGCGUUACCAGGUUCUGUCCUCUGCUGUGGUUCUGUGUUCCAGCACUCUGUCACUCCACAGACCAGGUGCCAGAGAAGUUCUUGUCUCCCAGGCAGAACAAAUGAGAAACGUUAAUCCGGCUGUUGAAGAGCUGCAGCGUUCCCUCCAGAUCCCGGUCUGAAUCAUUCCGACUGGUUCUAGCAGACUCAGUCUGAGUUUGGACUGGGUUUAAUGGGACGGGCCGUCACCAGGCUGAAUGCAGCCAGAGCUCAGUGAGGGGAGGAGCUCCACUCUGACAGACUUUGUGUUGGAGCUGAAGAGCUGCUGCUGUCUCUCUGUUCUUCUGUCAGUACCAGGGAAAUAAUGCUGCUGCUGCUUUUCUCCUGCAUGAUGAUGACCUUCUGCCUCCAGCCAGGAUCCUCUGAGGAUUUACUGACACCAUUUAAAGACGAUCAGCUGGAUUUGGAAGGAAACAAUGUGACUCUGUCCUGCAACUAUUCAGGAACAGUAAACCUGCUCUUGUGGUACCGACAAACGCCCAGUUCAUCUCCACAGCUGGUCACCUCAGGAUAUUCAGACACAACAGGAAGGCUUUCAUUGAGACACGAGAAAACAACGAAGACGUUUCAUCUGCUGAUCUCCUCUGCUGCAGUGACAGACUCUGCUGUGUACUACUGCGCUGUGAGGCCCACAGUGACAGGAAACACCAGAACCCUGUGCAAAAACCUGCAGUACUCCACAGCAGCCACUAGAGGGUCUCACUCCCUGUUAAACCACUAAAACCUGCAGUACUCCACAGCAGCCACCAGGGGGCGACAUGCUCCAGCAGGCGGCGCUCUCCUUGUGCUCUGUGCUCCAGCAUCGUGUCAAUAAG